rnacentral:rRNA from 1 species
GACGAACGCUGGCGGCGUGCUUAACACAUGCAAGUCGAACGGAAAGGCCCUGCUUUUGUGGGGUGCUCGAGUGGCGAACGGGUGAGUAACACGUGAGUAACCUGCCCUUGACUUUGGGAUAACUUCAGGAAACUGGGGCUAAUACCGGAUAGGAGCUCCUGCUGCAUGGUGGGGGUUGGAAAGUUUCGGCGGUUGGGGAUGGACUCGCGGCUUGUCAGCUUGUUGGUGGGGUAGUGGCUUACCAAGGCUUUGACGGGUAGCCGGCCUGAGAGGGUGACCGGCCACAUUGGGACUGAGAUACGGCCCAGACUCCUACGGGAGGCAGCAGUGGGGAAUAUUGCACAAUGGGCGGAAGCCUGAUGCAGCAACGCCGCGUGCGGGAUGACGGCCUUCGGGUUGUAAACCGCUUUCGCCUGUGACGAAGCGUAAGUGACGGUAAUGGGUAAAGAAGCACCGGCUAACUACGUG